CUGUCACAUUCAGUAUGUGGGUGCUGCUGGAUUAGAUGUGACAUGAUAAUCAGAUAGUUGUAUGUGAGAUUGGUGCUGCAUUUGUUACAGAAACUAUGCAUAAGGAGUUAUCUCAGAUUAAUGUUAGCAUAUAGAAUCACAGCAUAGGUUGGGCUGGAAGGGACCUUAAAGAUCAUCUCGUUCCAAACCCUUGCCAAGGGCAGGAUGCCACUCACUAGCUCAGGUUUCUCAGAGCCCUAUCCAGCCUGGCCUUGGGCACUUCCAGGGAUGGGGCAUCCACACUCUCUCCUUGCUUUAGGUUGUCUCCUUCCUUCUUAUAUCCUUCUGUCUAUGCUUCCUUCCCUGUAUCCUAUUUGUAAUUCUUGUUUCCGGACAGAAGCCCUAGAGGGCAGCAAAGCAGCCAAAGCGGUCAGAAGGUGCAAAUUGGGCCCGUCUGAGGAUUCUCUUUAGGAGCCCGUCGGUUUUUGAUUCGUGGAGAUUAUGCCUUUCUUCUUAAAACGUGUUUCCCACGUCAUAGUUUCAGGGGGAAGGCUUGUGUUUGGGCAGGCAUCCUUGGGGAUCAAAGUGGAUUGCAACAGAGAGGAGGGGAAUUAGGGAAUGGACAAGUUGAAGACAAGGAAGGUGAAGCAGUGGCUUCUUCCCUUUCCGUGAAAUUGCUAGAAAGUAGAUACAGAAGCUCAAAAGGAAACAGCUUUCCCUAUUCAUCAAUUAACUCAGCUUAAAACCUAUACAGCUUCUGAGGAUGCUCCACACAGGGUUGAGACCUUGUGCAAUUUUUGUUAGCGUGGGUUCUUGGAGUUCAUUGCAGACCAGACUCUGAUUGGAGUGUGGGCUCCUGCAUAUUAUUACCUUACAGUGAGGGCUGAUGAUGGUAUUAACUGUUGAGUGGUGAGCUAGGGGAAGGUUUAAGAGACUGGUUAUUCAGAAGCAACUAAAUUCUUAGAACGAGGUUUUAACAUGCCUAUAGAAUUAUUUAGGGUGGAAAUGACUCUAAAAUUGAGUCCAACCACAAACCCAGCACUGCCAAGUGCUUCACUAAACCACAUCCCUAAGUGCCAUAUCCAUGCUGCUUUUAAAUACCACCAGGGAUGGUGACUCCACUGCUUCCUUGAGCAGCCUGUUGCAAUGCUUGACUGCUCUCUCUGUGAAGAAAGUUCUCCAAAUGUCCAAUCUAAACCUCUUCUGGUGCAACUGGAGGCUGUUUCCUCCCAUCCUGUGAGAAGAGACCAAUCCCCACCUGGCCACAGCCUCCUUUCAGGCAGUUGUAGACAGCCGUGAAUAUUCCCCUCAGCCUCCUUCUUUCCAUGCUUAACUACCCCUGCCCACUCAGCUGCUCCUCAUAAAAUUCGUGCUCCAGACCUUUCACCAGCUUCCUGUGGAUGCUCUUCAUACCCCUUGUGUGCCCAUCUCAACUAUAAAUUUCUAACUCAUUAAAUUCUAGGUCAGGGGAAGUAUUGCAGAUCACAUGUUUGUCCUUUUUAUCUUAUGGUGACAGUUUCAUGCUUUCAGCUUUUUUGGAAAGAGCAUUUUGACAGCUUCCUGUCUUGGGAAUGUUGCCUUACACCAUUUAAAAUCUGUGUCUUUAAAUAUUUUUAGAAACAGGUCAACAGAUUUGUGAUGCUUCUCUAGAAAAAUUAUAGAUAGCUGAUGUGUGUUGUGUGAAACCCAGAGAAAAUAGGAUGACUGUGGAAACCUUUUGGCAAUAUCCAGCCUGGAAACUUGUGCUUUAAUGUGAAGGUUUGUAAUUGUUCCAUAAAGAAAAGUAAGCUCUUUGUCGUCAUUACCACAUUAAGAAAAGCAUGCCUGGGAUCAAGGUAAUUUCAGAUAAAUUACACUGCUUGGAGUCUGUUCACGCCUCUGCUGCAGAAUAUAUAGGUGUCAUCCAUCAAAUCCUGUGUUGCUUUUAUAUUGAACACAACUUGGCCUGCUGGGUGGUAAGUGGGAGGCUUAGAGUGGACAGGGUGAGAUUUAUUAGUUCUUUUUCACCGAUGGUUGUUGCUGUGUUUCAUUCAACAUUCUUGAGUUUUUCAAGGACUUCACAUUUUAGUGGAACAAGUGGAAGAUGGUGGAUUUUCUACAGCUCUAGAAAAUCAGGCCUUCAGUCUCAAGCUACCAUUUAUUAGUAUUUUUGAAUUCUAGGCUUAAUCUUUUAAGGCAGAAGUUAGUAAAAAUUUGUUCUAUAUUAAAAUGAAACAGCAAAGCAUUUCCUGCCUUUCUACUGUUAAUCUCCCAACUGAGAUUUUUUUCUUUGUUUUCUUUCUUUUUGUAGUGCUGUUUUCCAGUUGAAGAUUUCAAGAGUUAUCUGCUUUCCAGAUCUGAAUGGAAUCCUUCUGCAUCAGAACAGGAAACUAAUAAGGAGGGACAGCUGUUCCUGCUCAGCCCUUUCAGUAUCAUUGUUUCAUUUCUCUUCAGUUAAUCUAAAUAUGUGGUGAGCUGUACUGUUUGCAGAAAGUAAGGAGGUUCUGUGUCUGUUUGAAUAUGAUAACUCACUGUGGGAAAAGCUGAGUGUAGCUGACUUCAUCUUGUGCUACAUAGGUAACUCAGGACAACAGGUAAUUUCAGAAAUGAUAUAUACAGAUUUCUAUAUUAUCUAUUAAAUGGUAUCUACAGAUACCAUUUAACCCCUUAUAUUUUUACAUACCCUUUUUAAAGGAAAUUUUGGUAACAGCUGACAGUAUGUCUUUGAAUUAGAGCAUUGACAUUCAGUACUGUCAGUGAAGAUUCUCAGACUGUGUAUGAAGAUCUUGUAUAUGUGGCUGAAGUGGUAGCACCUCUUUACAAAUAAUUUGGGUUUUGGGCCAGUUGUUUCCCACAAAAAGGAAAAAAUAUAUUGAAAUUAUUUUGGUAAGCUAGUGUGCUUUUGCUUUGUCCUCUUUCACUUUUGCAUAGUUACCUAAACCACUUUUCAUAGGACUGUUCAGCAGAAAGCAGAGGUCACCUAAUUGAUACUUAAAGCUGUUGAACUUAUGUAAGAAAUGUAGUUUGGUUCUCCUGCACAAUGUUUACAUUUUGUGUGUUUGUUGUGGUUUGGGAGGGGUUUUGUUUGUUUUUCUAAAUGCAAAGCAAGUGCUUUGAUUCCAUGUGGUUGGGGAAACUGUGCUAAACUUAGGCUUUACUCUUGUCAGGUUGCCUGUCCCUGUGCUAACUUCAGAACUUGAAGAGGUGACCUUUUGCUGUGAGGUAAUGAUGUUUAUGCUCUCUCCUAUGGAUCUCUCCUUUUCCUUCCCUGAAGCAACAUCACAAAAGGAAUACACUGUGCAAGAUUUUCUCCUUGCAGUUAAUAGUACCAAGUGCUUAUUUUGAUGAGAAAAAUGUUCUUUAAAACAUUCUAGAAUAAGAAAAGAAAAUGCUCUGCUGUGUUACCAUUUCUGUGUGCCUAAUCCUGAAAAAGAGAGAACUUUGCCCCAAACACCUGACAGUUUGUUUGGAAUCCAGCCAGUGUAUGUAACUGGAAAUUGAAUUUCUAAUCAGGAAAGGAAAAUGAAGGGAGAAUAAAGGAAGCAUUCGUAAUAUGUUGGACAAAUAAUGUAAAAUUACUGUAGCCCUCUGCUGCCCAUCCAUUUAAGAGAAAUGUUAUUGCAGGAGUAAUCUUGGGGGAUCUGAAAGAACCUGAUGUUAAGAACUUCACUUGAGGAAGAUGAUGUAUUUUUACAUGUGGAAAAAAGGUGUAAUGAGUGGUGUAGUAACCUGAAGUGGCAGCUUUUUUUGCUGUAUGUCUUAGGCCUUGGACUGUCAGAACAUUUUAUGCUGCAGCACACUGGCACCUUCUGCUAAAUUUUGUCCUCCAUAGCUUAUCCUACCUGGCUUCUUGUGAUUUAAGGAUGGGGGAAGGAGGCAAGUGGAAAGUGGAAAGUAACACUGUCUAGGGCCAAAAGAAGGUCCCUCAUGUAUUACAAGAGUUUGUAUUUCUGCUUUCUAUCUUGUUGUUUCUAUAGAAAAGUCUACACCACUUGUUACAAGUCCCUGUGUUAUGGAAGUGUGCUGGAUUUUGAAGGUCAGGGCUGCUGGACUGUGUAGAUAUCAAAACAUUACUGCUAUUUAAGAGUCAUAUCUUUUCCUGCUGUAACUACUGUUUGGCUCAUGUAAUGAUCCACAGUUCACAUAUACAGUUUAGGAAAGAUCAGCAAGAACUUCCAUUUUGAGGAUAUCUCUAAGACGGAGUUGCAAGCAACAAAAAUAUAAUCAUUAAUGAAUUUUUUAUCAUAUAAGUAAGAUUUAUUUUUCCACAUGGAAAUUGUUAUUAUAAAACCAUUUCACGGGAAUUUUCUAGGAGUGCAAAUGAUUCUUUUAAAAGUAUCCUGUUAAAAAACCCAGCAGCUCAACAACAAAUGGAUCAAUAUGGCUGUAUCUGGCUCUUCAAGUUGUAUUGUACAGUGUUUCCAGGAAUGGUGUUCUCUCUUUUCCCGUCUGAGGCAGAUAAUGACUACAUAAAUAUAAAACUGAAAUCUGCAAUUUUGCAUUUGAGACUAUGGAUCAGUACAUAAAGAGUUAAUCUACAGUAGCAAAAUUGUCCUUGGAAAGAAUGAACUGGUCACAAAAUUUCUGCUGGAGUGUUUGUUAAACUGAGAGGAAAAACAAAAGUUCAUACAUACACAACUUCAGGGUGAAAAUGUUGGAUACCACCAGGACCUUGCUAUUGUUGGUUUCCACACAGUUUUUAGAAAAACACCCACUCAACUUCACUCUCAGCCAGUGCUUUAAAUUCUCUUAUUGCUGGAGAUGAUGUUUUUACUUGCUCUUACAUAGUUCACUAUCUUCCAUCUAAAUUGCAUCCCUUUUGGUGAAGGUGGCUUUUGUCCUCAGUUAAAUUAAAGUAAUUAAAACUUGAAAAAUGUUACAGUCUGGGAACCUGUUAUGAGGUCCAUUUGUGUUAGACUCAUAUUGUUCUACAAAACCAAAGAGAUGGCCCAGGUUUCAGAGUUACACUCUGAGCCCACUGCCAGAGAUCCCUCCCUAUGGAAACUGCAGAACUGGCAAGGCCAUUUUUGAUAUGUGAUGUUUGUUGUGUAAACAUACACUUCUAAAAAGUGCAUUCCCAACCCAUCCACUCAUUCCCUAAUUUCACCUUCCCAUGUGCCACAUGCUGUAUUUAAGUUUGGUAGCUGCAGAUAGGUCUGGAUAUUCUAAAAGAAUGUCCUGAUACCUCUCUGUACCAUGUGAGUUUCUAAAGAAGCUUUUGUAUUAAUUAAAUGGUAGCAGUCUGCUUCACAAUAAUAGAUGGAAGCAAAAAAAAAAAGAAUCUCCUUCUACUUGUAAAAAAAUUAACCAAAAUUAGAAAAGACAAACCUCCCUACCAGCAAAUAUGCAAGCGUUUAUGAAAUCAACAGCUCAUGUGUUACUAGUUCCUAGGUAUGAAUAGGAGUCCAGUACUGAUAAAGACCAUGGAAAAAACUGCUUUUAAGAUAUCAUCAAAUUUAGAAAAUUAGUAAUUUUUUCCUCAGUGCAAUUGUUGGAGAUAACAGCAAGACACUAGUUAGAAUGAGAAAGUUUGUUAUCACUUUAUUUAAACUUUAAAUGAAGAAAAGGCAGUACUAUGCUAGUUACAAAACCCUUCCCUCCCUCCCUCCCUGCCAGAUUUAUGCUCCUCAGUUGUUUGGCUACUUCUGCUUUUCCCUCCUACUGUCAAAGAAUGCAACAAAGUUUUGUCUACACAGAAAGCAGUAAUGCAUGUGAGUAAUGUGAGUAAUGCAGCCUGUUGACAUUAGUAAGUGGGAAAUAUGUGUUGAAAUGCUAAACUCAGAAAAAAUAUGAAAUAAAGUGACAUGAGUUUAGUCUGCUUUUUAAACUUUUCUAUUCUAGGUUUUUUUUUUUUUUAGGAGAGGUUGAUUUCUGGCUGUUGAUGAACCUUCCAUAACUGAAAAGUACAAGGAACUGGUAUGGUAAAGUCUUAAGACCCCAGAAAUAAUUGGACCUUUAGGAACCUCAGGCUGAACUUGGUGAGUAUCUCAAGAUAGUGUAGAAAUAAAUGGAACAGUUUCAGUGGGAUGCACAGAUAUCUUCUCAAAGUCUUUCCUUUUGCUGGACACAUGUGCUUGUUAAACUACUGACUUGCCUUAGUUUUAAGGACUUUUGUUUCUCAUUGCUCUUCCCACAAGAUAGCAAAUAAGGUUAAUCACAAGCAACUAAGUAUUCAUGGAUGUUAUUUAACAGGAGGCCUUUGCCUGCAUUCCUUUGGGGGUAAGAAUUUGUACAAUAAUGACUGCUUUAUUGAUUUGAAUGUAAAAAUAAAUAAAUAAAG